rnacentral:lncRNA from 1 species
UUGGAAGUUUAAAGGAAAAAAAAGGAAAGGGAGAAAGAGAAAUCUUUCUGUCUUAAAGUGUAAUUAACAAUGGCUUCCUCAGUUCUUUCCUCUGCAGCAGUUGCCACCCGCAGCAAUGUUGCUCAAGCUAACAUGGUUGCACCUUUCACUGGCCUUAAGUCAGCUGCCUCAUUCCCUGUUUCAAGGAAGCAAAACCUUGACAUCACUUCCAUUGCCAGCAACGGCGGAAGAGUGCAAUGCAUGCAGGUAAUUUAUAUACAAUGACAGUGCAAAAAAUUUUGAUACAAUUAAUGCAUCUUAACAUGUCAUAGCUAAAAAUUCUAUUUUGGUGGAAUAUAGGUGUG